rnacentral:rRNA from 1 species
UCAGCCGCCGCGGUAAUACCAGCUCCUCGAGUGGUCGGGACGAUUAUUGGGCCUAAAGCACCCGUAGCCGGUUCCGUAAGUCCUCUGUUAAAUCCAGUCGCUCAACGGCUGGUCUGCAGAGGAUACUGCGGGACUAGGAGGCGGGAGAGGCGGACGGUACUCCGCGUGUAGGGGUAAAAUCCUUUGAUCCGCGGAAGACCACCAGUGGCGAAGGCGGUCUGCCAGAACGCGCUCGACGGUGAGGGGUGAAAGCUGGGGGAGCGAACCGGAUUAGAUACCCGGGUAGUCCCAGCCGUAAACGAUGCGAGCUAGAUGAUUCGAUCGCAGUUCGCGAUCGAAGUGUCGCAGGGAAGCCGUUAAGCUCGCCGCCCGGGGAGUACGGUCGC